AGUGAUGGAAAUGCAGCCUCUGGGGUGAUGCCUUGGCAGGGACAGGAGCCCUGUUGGACAGUCAGCAGAGAGGGCACGUGCUCCCUUCUCCCUCCAGUGAUCCUCAGCUGCAAACUAACCAGACAUCAGGUCUCCUGCUGCCACUGAUGACCCAAAGUUUCCACUGUUCUGAAAGACAGACAGUUCCCUCUCCCUGACUGAGAGCCAGCAGGGCACACCAGGAUGGGAGGUUGGUGCAGUGUUUUCCCUGGUUCACUGAACCAUUUAAAGCAGGUCCAACAUGGCACUGUGAACCCCCCCAAACUCUUUAGCCCAGAUGCUGUGACACAUCAGUGAGCACUUCUCUGCCACGGCAGUGGGAGAUGGAGAAGAGCAGAGCUCACUCAGGCUCUUACCUAGUGCCAGUGAAAGUUUACCUUCAAGAAUCCAUUUAUCAUACUCAGGAAAUCAUUCCAUGUAUGCUCAGAUGA